rnacentral:rRNA from 1 species
UACAGAGGGGGCAAGCGUUGUUCGGAAUUACUGGGCGUAAAGGGCGCGUAGGCGGCCCGCUAAGUCGAACGUGAAAUCCCCGGGCUCAACCCGGGAACUGCGUCCGAUACUGGAAGGCUUGAAUCCGGGAGAGGGAUGCGGAAUUCCAGGUGUAGCGGUGAAAUGCGUAGAUAUCUGGAGGAACACCGGUGGCGAAGGCGGCAGUCCUGGACCGGUAUUGACGCUGAGGCGCGGAAA